rnacentral:tRNA from 1 species
GUAUAAAUAGCUUAAUAUGGCAGAGCUUGCGUUUUGGGAACGUAAAGGUGUAGGUUCGAGUCCUACUUUAUGCA